UAGAGUUUGAUCAUGGCUCAGGAUGAACGCUAGCGACAGGCUUAACACAUGCAAGUCGAGGGGCAGCGGGGAGGUAGCAAUACUUCCGCCGGCGACCGGCGCACGGGUGAGUAACACGUAUGGAACCUGCCCGUAGCAGGGGGAUAAACGGAAGAAAUUCCGUCUAAUACCGCGUAAUAACUCCGAGAGGCAUCUCAUGGAGUUUAAAGGGUAACACCGGCUACGGAUGGCCAUGCGGCGCAUUAGCUAGUUGGCGGGGUAACGGCCCACCAAGGCGACGAUGCGUAGGGGUUCUGAGAGGAAGGUCCCCCACACUGGUACUGAGACACGGACCAGACUCCUACGGGAGGCAGCAGUGAGGAAUAUUGGUCAAUGGGCGCGAGCCUGAACCAGCCAAGUCGCGUGAGGGAAGACGGUCCUAUGGAUUGUAAACCUCUUUUGUCGGGGAGCAAAAGACGCCACGUGUGGCGUUCCGAGAGUACCCGAAGAAAAAGCAUCGGCUAACUCCGUGCCAGCAGCCGCGGUAAUACGGAGGAUGCGAGCGUUAUCCGGAUUUAUUGGGUUUAAAGGGUGCGCAGGCGGAAGAUCAAGUCAGCGGUAAAAUUGAGAGGCUCAACCUCUUCGAGCCGUUGAAACUGGUUUUCUUGAGUGAGCGAGAAGUAUGCGGAAUGCGUGGUGUAGCGGUGAAAUGCAUAGAUAUCACGCAGAACUCCGAUUGCGAAGGCAGCAUACCGGCGCUCAACUGACGCUCAUGCACGAAAGUGUGGGUAUCGAACAGGAUUAGAUACCCUGGUAGUCCACACAGUAAACGAUGAAUACUAAUUGUUCGGGGAGAAUGAUCCCUGAGUGAUACAGCGAAAGCGUUAAGUAUUCCACCUGGGGAGUACGCCGGCAACGGUGAAACUCAAAGGAAUUGACGGGGGCCCGCACAAGCGGAGGAACAUGUGGUUUAAUUCGAUGAUACGCGAGGAACCUUACCCGGGCUCAAACGACACAGGAAUACUUUUGAAAGGAGGUAGCUCUACGGAGUCUGUGUCGAGGUGCUGCAUGGUUGUCGUCAGCUCGUGCCGUGAGGUGUCGGCUUAAGUGCCAUAACGAGCGCAACCCCCAUCGCCAGUUACCAGCAAGUCAAGUUGGGGACUCUGGCGAGACUGCCGGCGCAAGCUGUGAGGAAGGCGGGGAUGACGUCAAAUCAGCACGGCCCUUACGUCCGGGGCGACACACGUGUUACAAUGGCAGGUACAGAGAGAAGCAAUGCGGCGACGCAAAGCGGAACUUGAAAGCCUGUCUCAGUUCGGAUUGGAGUCUGCAACUCGACUCCAUGAAGCUGGAUUCGCUAGUAAUCGCGCAUCAGCCAUGGCGCGGUGAAUACGUUCCCGGGCCUUGUACACACCGCCCGUCAAGCCAUGGAAGCCGGGAGUGCCUGAAGUGAGCAACCGCAAGGAGCGCCCUAAGGUAAAACUGGUGACUGGGGCUAAGUCGUAACAAGGUAACCGUA
rnacentral:rRNA from 1 species